GCGAUCAUCCCAGCACUAAAGCACCGGAUCCCAUAAAAACUCUAUAAUUAAGCGUGCUUGGGUGAGAGUAGUACAAGGAUGGGUGAUGAGCACAUAAUAUCGCAUAUUU